rnacentral:rRNA from 1 species
GACGAACGCUGGCGGCGUGCUUAACACAUGCAAGUCGAACGGAAAGGCCCUGCUUUUGUGGGGUGCUCGAAUGGCGAACGGGUGAGUAACACGUGAGUAAACUGCCCUUGACUUUGGGAUAACUUCAGGAAACUGGGGCUAAUAACGGAUAGGAGCUCCUGCUGCAUGGUGGGGGUUGGGAAGUGUCGGCGGUUGGGGAUGGACUCGGGGGUUAUCAGCUUGUUGGUGGGGUAGUGGCUUACCAAGGCUUUGACGGGUAGCCGGCCUGCGAGGGUGACCGGCCACAUUGGGACUGAGAUACGGCCCAGCCUCCUACGGGAGGCAGCAGUGGGGAAUAUUGCACAAUGGGCGGAAGCCUGAUGCAGCGACGCCGCGUGCGUGAUGACGGCCUUCGGGUUGUAAACAGCUUUCGCCUGUGACGAAGCGGGAGUGACGGUAAUGGGUAAAGAAGCACCGGCUAACUACGUG